rnacentral:tRNA from 1 species
GCGUUGUUAGGCUAGCGGUAAACUGGGCCCUUGCCAUUCAAUUAAUUAGAUAAUCUGGGCUCGUCAGGGGUUCGACUCCCCUACAACGCA